rnacentral:rRNA from 1 species
GCGUGGAUGAAGAAGGCCUUAGGGUUGUAAAAUCCUUUCGCUAGGGAAGAUAAUGACGGUACCUAGACAAGAAGCCCCGGCUAAUUUCGUGCCAGCAGCCGCGGUAAUACGAAAGGGGCUAGCGUUGUUCGGAAUUACUGGGCGUAAAGCGCACGUAGGCGGCAUUGCAAGUUGGGGGUGAAAUCCCGGGGCUUAACCCCGGAACUGCCUUCAAAACUGCAAAGCUUGAGGAUGCGAGAGGUGAGUGGAAUUCCGAGUGUAGAGGUGAAAUUCGU